rnacentral:rRNA from 1 species
UACGAAGGGGGCUAGCGUUGCUCGGAAUCACUGGGCGUAAAGCGCACGUAGGCGGACUGUUAAGUCGGGGGUGAAAUCCUGGGGCUCAACCUCAGAAUUGCCUCCGAUACUGGCAGUCUCGAGUGCGGGAGAGGUGAGUGGAAUUCCCAGUGUAGAGGUGAAAUUCGUAGAUAUUGGGAAGAACACCAGUGGCGAAGGCGGCUCACUGGCCCGUAACUGA